rnacentral:rRNA from 1 species
AGAGUUUGAUCCUGGCUCAGGAUGAACGCUAGCGGCAGGCUUAAUACAUGCAAGUCGAGGGGCAUCGGGGGUAGCAAUACCUGCCGGCGACCGGCAAACGGGUGCGGAACACGUACACAACCUUCCUUUUAGUGGGGGAUAGCCCAGAGAAAUUUGGAUUAAUACCCCGUAACAUUAUUUGAUGGCAUCAUUAGAUAAUUAAAGCUCCGGCGCUAGAAGAUGGGUGUGCGUCUGAUUAGGUAGUUGGUAGGGGUAACGGCCCACCAAGCCAACGAUCAGUAACUGGUGUGAGAGCACGACCAGUCACACGGGCACUGAGACACGGGCCCGACUCCUACGGGAGGCAGCAGUAAGGAAUAUUGGUCAAUGGACGCAAGUCUGAACCAGCCAUGCCGCGUGGAGGAUGAAGGUCCUCUGGAUUGUAAACUUCUUUUAUAUGGGACGAAAAAGGGCUUUUCUAGGUCAACUGACGGUACCAUAUGAAUAAGCACCGGCUAACUCCGUGCCAGCAGCCGCGGUAAUAC